UGGCAAACAGAGGCAGAGCCACAGAGGGGCUGCUCGUCCCCAAAUGUCUCUCCAGCCGCUCUGAAGCUGCUGCGGGCUGCUGUGCUGGUCCAUGGAGAAGGUGGAACACUGGACUAAAGAGACAGGCUGAGGAAGCCCUCAAGUCACCCCUGAUGGAGGCCAGACCUUGAAUGUUACAAUCCCUCUGCUUAUCGACCCUUAAUAAAAAUCUGAGCAGGUCUUCUCUGCAGGACACAGGAGGCUUUCUGGAAAAAAAAACAUGGAAAAAAAGUCCGGAAGUGCUCGACCAAGAGAUCGCGAGAUGGGAGCAGAGAGUACAGGAAAGGAAGGAGGAGAAAGAAAGGCUGGAAACCUUUGAAUGCACAAAAAAAACAGGUCAUGAAAGAUACCACGAGCCAACUAAAAUCUCUGGCUGAAAAUGUGCUGGACACCAUGCAGUUGGAAGAUUUCACUAGGGACCGCAGUGAUGAGGGGAACUUGGAAGCAGAGCUAAAGAGGAAAGCAGAAAAUGAAGAAACCACCCCCUUAAAAAUUAAGUAAAUUUUUUUAAAGUUAUGUGCAUACAUUCUGUAUAUACAGAAAAGAUAUCUAAAUUGUAUGCACGCAGAAGGAGCAUUGCCCCCACAAGGAACAGUUCAUGCUAAAUGGUGCAGAUGAAGAGACUUUGACAAAGGAAGUUUCCUGAGCUGUGGGCAGGGAUGAGAGCUCAGACAAAUGAUGGGAAGCCUCCCAGAUGCCAAGGUUUCCCACCCCCAGGUUUCAAGGGAGGAGAGAGGAAGUGAUGUCAUCUGAGCCCAGUGAGGCCCUGUCAAGGGACCAGGGAAAACUGCCCCCACUUUUUGCUCCCAUCCUCUCAUUGACUGCAGGUGCACAGGCAGCUGCCUGAAAGAGGGCCUGCGAAGUGCAAGCCAGAGGAGUUGGCCUCCAUGGCACAGAGCAGGCAGAAAACAAAUUUGGAGAAUGACCAGCACUCUUGGGUUUAUUUGACUGAAAGUGCUUGUUUUAUUGCAUUCACUCACAUCCAUUUAUUUAAUAAAUAUCCAUGGAGUGUCU
rnacentral:lncRNA from 1 species